rnacentral:rRNA from 1 species
UAGGGGUGAUAGGCUUGUCAAAACAUUUGAUAACUUGAUUGAGAAAAAAUAUUUUGAGAAUAAUAGACAAUUAAUUAAUGAUAAGGUUAAUUAAAAACACCAAUGUUGGUUAUAGUAUUUUACGUAAUUUAAUUAUUUGUAUUAAGAGAUAUACUUAACAUAUUUAAUAUAGAUACUGUGGUUUUUAUUUUCCAACGUUAGGUAAAUUUACUAUUAGCUUUUAAUAUGUUAUUAUUAGUAACCUUUAAAUUUUUACUGAGGAACUCGGCAACUAGUUUGGUCAGCUGUUUAACAAAAACAUAACCACACGUAGUAUAUAUGUGGCAACUUCUGCUCAAUGAUAACAAUUAAAUAGCCGCAGUACCCUGACUGUGCAAAGGUAGCAUAAUCAUUUGGCUCAUAAUUGGAGUCUGGCAUGAAUGAACUUAUGGCUAACAACUGUCUUUGUUAAAGUUUACUGAACUUACUUAGUGAGUGCAAAUACUCAUACUUAUAUUAAAGACGAGAAGACCCUAGAAAUUUUGAUUAAAUAUUUUCUUAAACCAUUUUUGUUGGGGCGACAUAAUAACACAAUAAACUUAUUACUUAUAUAAGAACUUUAUUUUGCGUAAAACUAAAUUACUCUAGGGAUAACAGCAUAAUUUUCAAGAGUUUGUGACCUCGAUGUUGGAUUAGGGAUAGUAUUAUUCAAAAGAGAAUACGAAUUGUUCUGUUCGAAC